UACGUCGUGUCUAAUCAUCCAAGCUCAUCUAAUUUUUUCUUCGCGUCACGAAUGAUAAUACGAUGGUGAUAGAAGGCGACCGUAUGGUAAGUAAAGAAUAGAACAACACGAUAUGAAGAAGUUUCGAAUUAAUGGUGGAGAAAAGAAGAAAAAAGAAAACCGAGGGGAAAAAUAAAUAAAUAAAAAAAAAAAAAAGAACAGCAGAAAAGAAAACACUAUAAAAAGUUCAAAACGUAAUUCGCCACGAAAGACCAUCGAUCUCAGAAAUUGCGUGCGCAUGAACGAGCUAUCAUCAUUCUGCGAUGACGAUGUAAAACGAAUUUUUACGAUGAACGAGCUCUCGCCAUAUUCCGUGCAUACGCAACAACUAGACCUGCUAGACACUACACACCGCGAUACUUGAUUGUAUACUGCGCAACAUGGCUUCAAGGUUGUAAGCCACGAAGUGGUUUCACGUUUGACGAUUAAACUCUAUGCUUGAAGAAAAGAAAGGACGGAAGAAACUAAGUAUUGUAAAACGUUUGAAAAACGUGUUGACUUUAGGCGCGUGACAAAAGUCACGUCAAAGAUUUUCCACGUUUACGUAAAAUAUGGCGCACUGUCGCUAAUAUCCGAUUACGUGGACGAAGCAGAAAUUCUUACUAAUUUCAACGUCUGUAUUCUAUUCUAUCUACGAGAGAGGAAUACGCGUAAAAUGUUUCAUGGCAUAUUUUUUCAUCGAAUGAAUAUAUAUACGAUGUAUGUGUAUGUGUGAAACAAAAAUCAAAGAGAGAAAAAAAAACUACAAUGACUAUGUAUCUCUCACUUCUCGAGACACCUGUCGCUGAAGUAAUAAAACUAGAGUUACUUGUGAAAGCGAUUACGCUAGGUACAUUCCUGGAUACGUCGACGUCAACGUCAUCGUCAUCGUCGUGUUUUCCUAGACUUAAUUCGUCAUUGUUCACGAGGGUACCGUACGUUAUGUUGCGUCAAUCAUGUCAAUAGCAAAAGAAGAAAAGACAGACAAAUGGAAUAAUAAACGGAAAGAAAAAUGUGAUUGCGAAAAAAAAUUACGAUCAGACAUUUUUUCGUGAGACAUCUUCGGAUAAUAAGAUAAGAAAAAACUGGCACACAAGUUUUUGUCCAAAGUUAAUUUGCUCGAAAGCGAUACGUAGGCUUGUGAAGAAAAUUGAAAAAAAAUAAAAUAAAAUAAAACAAAAAGUAAAAAAAAAAAAAAGAAUGAAAAAUAAAAAAUAAAA